ACGCCAGACUCCUACGGGAGGCAGCAGUGGGGAAUAUUGCACAAUGGGGGAAACCCUGAUGCAGCGACGCCACGUGAGUGAAGAAGUAAUUCGUUAUGUAAAUCUCUAUCAGCAGGGAAGAAAAUGACGGUACCUGAGUAAGAAGCCCCGGCUAACUACGUGCCAGCAGCCGCGGUAAUACGUAGGGGGCAAGCGUUAUCCGGAUUUACUGGGUGUAAAGGGAGCGUAGACGGUCCUGCAAGCCAGAUGUGAAAGCCCGGGGCUCAACCCCGGGACUGCAUUUGGAACUGUAAGGCUAGAGUGUCGGAGAGGCAGGCGGAAUUCCUAGUGUAGCGGUGAAAUGCGUAGAUAUACGGAGGAACACCAGUGGCGAAGGCGGAUUGCUGGACAGUAACUGACGCUGAGGCGCGAAAGCGUGGGGAGCAAACAGGAUUAGAUACCCCUGUAC
rnacentral:rRNA from 1 species